rnacentral:lncRNA from 1 species
CCCAUCUAGUGGUAUUAUAUUUUCCAGUCUGUGCGUCCUUUCGUCCGUCCAUCUGUCCCGCUUCAGGUUAAAGUUUUUGAUGAAGUUGAUAUGAUCUAAAACCUAAAGGAGUAGGUCCAGUAAGACCCCUGAUUUGCCCUUAAAAUAUAGCAGUUUAAAAAAAUUAUCAAAAUGUAAUUUUUUUUAUGCUAUUCAUUGGAAAGUAGAAUACUUCUGCUCUACAUAAAUAUGGGCUGUUU